UACGUAGGGGGGCAAGCGUUGUCCGGAAUCAUUGGGCGUAAAGAGCGUGUAGGCGGUCCGGUAAGUCGGCUGUGAAAGUCCAGGGCUCAACCCUGGGAUGCCGGUCGAUACUGCCGGACUAGAGUUCGGAAGAGGCGAGUGGAAUUCCCCGGUGUAGCGGUGAAAUGCGCAGAUAUCGGGAGGAACACCUAUGGCGAAGGCAGCUCGCUGGGACGUUACUGACGCUGAGACGCGAAAGCGUGGGGAGCAAACAGG
rnacentral:rRNA from 1 species